rnacentral:rRNA from 1 species
AUGGUGGAUGCACCUCUAUACAAGCAGCGCCGCAAGUACACCAUGGAGCUCCACGACGUCGAGCUCCACGGCAACCAUAAGCUCCAUGUUGUUUGCACAAGCAAGAGUCGAGACGUGGACAAGAUGCUAUCCACACUCAGGAGGAAGCUCGGCGGAAUUCCCAUCAAACUAGUCGGCGCUGAUGUCGAGUACACACACUAUGUGAAGCCACAGCGGGUAGUAGUGCUCCAGCUAUGCGUAGAACAAGAGUGCCUUGUCUACCACAUCUCUGCAUCUAAAGAUAGGCCAAUGGAACUCGACAAAUUCCUCAUGAAUGAUGAAUACACCUUCGCCGGAUUGGCCAUUGAAGGAGAAAAAACAAGCUGCAGCUAUCUGGCUUGGAGAUCAACUCCGACAACUACAUUGAUAUUUAGGUGGAAUGGAGAGACCCAUACAAGAAAAAUAAAUUUGACUCUUUGGUUGAAGUUGCCGGCAGGCUGA